UUCUAUGUACUGCGAACGGUGUGGGA
rnacentral:sRNA from 1 species